rnacentral:lncRNA from 1 species
CCAAAUCAAAAUCAAAAGUUUAUCUUCCUCACAAUAUUUCUCUCUCUAAAAACCCAAGAAGAAGAAGAAGAGGGAAAUAGAAGCUUGGGAUUGAAGAAAUCAAGGGUUUUUCAUCAAACUCUUCAAGGAUUCAUCAUCAACGUAUGGUAGUUUACAUCUUUGGGUAGAUUCCACCCAUAUAUCCCCUUCAAAAAUAGAUUUUAAAACUUACAAAUUUCCCCAAAUUAAGGAUGUUAUUCAAGUGACUUGUGUUAUUUAUAGAAAUGGUUUCAAGGUUUGAAUUAUGUUGGGUUAUGACUAAAUUUAUUAUCUAUGGUUGGAUUAUGGUGAAAUUAUCCCAAGAACCCAUGGAUCCCUUAUAUUGCUAAAUUGUGAUCUUAAUGUGGAUUAAUUGAUUUUAGAAACAUGUAAAUUGGUCUUGUAUGAAUUUAUUGAAUUAUAUUAUAACCAUAUCUAAUGUAGAAAUUCUAGAUGUUGGGUUGAAUAUGAUUCAAGAUUCUUGAAGGGUAAAUUAUGAGAAUAAAGAUUCUAAUACUUUGGUGUAAUUAUGGUGUUGAUUAAAAGAUCAUUCUCCCCUAUACACUUACACAUUAUUAUGCAUGAAUUAAUUAUGACUGUGAUGAUCUUGUUGUGAUUGAUUGAAAGUCCAUGUAAAUGGUUUUUGUUAAUAUUGAUUGAAUUAAUUGAAUCAUACUAUUACCAUGACUGAAUUGUAGUAAUUGUAGGUGUGUUGGUGAAUUAUGAUUUAUGGUCUUUUAUGGACAAACUAUGAGAUUUUGUAUAAUCAUUAUGCUUAUGUACACGCUUUGUGGAGAUAUUGAAAGUAAUGAUAUCAUGACUAUAAUGUAAUUAUGUGUUAUUGAAAGGUUAUUCUCAACUAUACACUUGUGAAUGAAGAUGACGUGUUGUAAAAGGGUUUUCUCAAUGUAUAUUGUACCAUGAAUCGGUAGUAUUAGGGUAUCCUCUUCAUGUGUAAUUUAAAGUGAUCUUGAUUAAAAUACCUUGAAUUGGUAGCUAGGCUUAGGGCAUCCUCUUCUUGUAUAACUAACAGGAUCUUCACUUAAUGAUUGAUGAAGUAAUCUAAGGUUUUAUCUUGAAUUGAUAGGUCAAUGGAAUUGCUUUCAUGAUGUUAUGAUGAUCCUUGAAUCGGUAGGCCUAAGGUAAAUUUCAUGAGCAACAAAUAAUGAACCUUGAAUUGAUAGACCAAUGGUACCCUUUUCAUUAGGAUUUAAUGAGAUAUCCUAAUAAUUUACCUUGAAUUAGUAGGCUAACGAUACCCUUUCAUGUGUGUAAUAAUGUACCUUGGGUCGGUAGGCCAAUGGAUUCCCUCUUAUGUGUAAUGAUGUUAAAAGAGAAUGGACUACUUUGUGGGAAUUUAAUGGUUAGCACCAACUGAAUAUUGUAAGGUAGAAGCUCACCUUAUGUUAGGUCGGGUUUCAAGUAAUACCUUCCUUAUUCUUGAACUAUGUGCCCACAUUGGUUAUAGCUAGUGGAUCCACCUAGGCUAUUAAACAUGAUUUCUACCUUAGGCAAGUAGGACACUUUUUUCCGGUGUGAGGGCAUGACUGUGGAUUCUAUGUAACUCACAUGGUCUAUGUCGGUUAAGGUUAUUUCCCUACAUUACAAGAAUAUGAAUUAUGACAAGAACAUGAACAUGAACUACAACUAUGGAUUCUUAAACAAUUUUACUUAGUAUGAGUUGGGGUAUGAGACCGUUAAUGCAUUGCACAAGUAGGCUUUAAAAGUGGUUGUAAUGUAGUUCUCUUGUGCUAUGAAUACCUAUGAAUUACGCAUGUAUGAUAUUUAUUGUUGCUAAUGGUGACUUUACUUGCUACAAGUUAUGAACAUGAAUGUUUCCUUGUCAAUGAGUAUUGGCUAUGGAUGAGUCCAAGGUAUAAUAUGAAUGAUUAGGGUGGCCUAUAAGUGGUACUUAGCAUAAGGCAGGAUUAUGAGAUCUUACCUAUGCAGAGCACAAGUAUAGCUUGGGGUUUGUUAUGAGAUGAUCAAAAUUAUGUUUCUUCAAAAAUGUACAUGAUGACGUUUAAACUUGAUAAAAAUGCAUGGUUUCAACUAAAUGUCCCUUUUGAAUAUGUUUUAAGGAUUUUUAUGCAUGACUACCAUACUUAAUGCAUUUUUGUACUAACCCAUAUUUUCUAUAUUUUCCUAUAAGUGUAGGUCCCAUUCGUUGAGUUGUACUUCUUUUUUUGGGUAAAUCUUUGAUUGAUUCUCUCCAUGCUUUUGGUGAGUCCUCAUGGUUCGAGGAUGGAAGUUUUUCAUUUCUAGUUCCAUCAACUUUUCUUUUAAGACUAUGUUGUAAAGGCUUGUGACCCUUAUUGAUAUUCAAUUUUAUCAUAUGGUAUAUUGAUACAAUGUCUAUACUUUCAUUUGGAUUUAUGGAAAUACUUCAAUUGUAAAAAGCUUUUAAUUCUGCAC